rnacentral:tRNA from 1 species
GCUCCUGUAGAUCAAUGGAAGAGCGGCUGCCCGGUAAGCAGCAGACGAGCGUUCGAUUCGCUCCAGGAGCUCCA